UACGAAGGGGGCUAGCGUUGCUCGGAAUGACUGGGCGUAAAGGGCGCGUAGGCGGACUGUACAGUCAGGCGUGAAAUUCCUGGGCUUAACCUGGGGGCUGCGCUUGAGACGUAGGGUCUAGAGUUCGGAAGAGGGUCGUGGAAUUCCCAGUGUAGAGGUGAAAUUCGUAGAUAUUGGGAGGAACACCAGUGGCGAAGGCGGCUCACUGGACCGGAACUGGACGCUGAGGCGCGAAAAGCGUGGGGGAGCAAACGGGG
rnacentral:rRNA from 1 species